GGGAGCGACUUGGCUUCGACAGGAGUAAGUCUGCUUAGAUGGCAUGUCGCUUUGGGCAAAGCGUAAAAAGCCCAAAUAAAAUUAAACGCAAACAACGUUAAAUUCGCUCCUGCUUACGCUAAAGCUGCGUAAGUUCAGUUGAGCCUGAAAUUUAAGUCAUACUAUCUAGCUUAAUUUUCGGUCAUUUUUGAUAGUGUAGCCUUGCGUUUGACAAGCGUUGAGGUGAAAUAAAGUCUUAGCCUUGCUUUUGAGUUUUGGAAGAUGAGCGAAGUAGGGUGAAGUAGUCAUCUUUGCUAAGCAUGUAGAGGUCUUUGUGGGAUUAUUUUUGGACAGGGGUUCGAUUCCCCUCGCUUCCAC
rnacentral:tmRNA from 1 species